rnacentral:rRNA from 1 species
AACGAACGCUGGCGGCAGGCCUAACACAUGCAAGUCGAGCGGACCUUUCGGGGUCAGCGGCGGACGGGUGAGUAACGCGUGGGAAUAUGCCCUUCUCUACGGAAUAGUCCUGGGAAACUGGGGGUAAUACCGUAUACGCCCUUUGGGGGAAAGAUUUAUCGGGGAAGGAUUAGCCCGCGUUGGAUUAGGUAGUUGGUGGUGUAAUGGCCUACCAAGCCGACGAUCCAUAGCUGGUUUGAGAGGAUGAUCAGCCACACUGGGACUGAGACACGGCCCAGACUCCUACGGGAGGCAGCAGUGGGGAAUCUUAGACAAUGGGGGCAACCCUGAUCUAGCCAUGCCGCGUGAGUGAUGAAGGCCUUAGGGUUGUAAAGCUCUUUCAGCUGGGAAGAUAAUGACGGUACCAGCAGAAGAAGCCCCGGCUAACUCCGUG